AUUGAACGCUGGCGGCAGGCCUAACACAUGCAAGUCGAGCGAGCGGCGGACGGGGGAGUAAUGUAUGGGGACUGCCCGCUAGAGGGGGAUAACUACUGGAAACGGUAGCUAAUACCGCAUACUAUCGGAUAACCCAUAUGGGAUUAGCUAGUAGGUUCGGUCAUGGCUCACCUAGGCGACGAUCCCUAGCUGGUCUGAGCGGCUGAUCAGCCACACUGGGAAGGAGACACGGCCCAGACUCCUACGGAGGCAGCAGUGGGGAAUAUUGCACAAGGGGCGAAAGCCUGAUGCAGCCAUGCCGCGUGGAUGAAGAAGGCCCUAGGGUUGUAAAGUACUUUCAGUCGGGAGGCGUUACCGACAGAAGAAGCACCGGCUAACUCCGUGCCAGCAGCCGCGGUAAUUC
rnacentral:rRNA from 1 species